AUAUUGGAGGGCAAGUCUGGUGCCAGCAGCCGCGAUAAUUCCAGCUCAAUAGCGUAUAUUAAAGUUGUUGCGGUUAAAAAGCUCGUAGUUGGAUCUCAGUUCAUGCUAUGUGGUCCACCUUUUGGUGGCUUACUAUGUAGCUGAACAUUUUACAGAUGUGUCUAGUGAUUCUCUUAACCGAGUGUCAUUAGCAAUCUGUACGUUUACUUUGAACAAAUUAGAGUGCUUAAAGCAGGCAUCUCGCCCGAAUAAUCAUGCAUGGAAUAAUGAAAUAGGACCUUGGUUCUAUUUUGUUGGUCUUCGGAAUCCGAGGUAAUGAUUAAGGGGACAGACGGGGGCAUUCGUAUUGCGGCGCUAGAGGUGAAAUUCUUGGACCGUCGCAAGACGAACUACAGCGAAAGCAUCUGCCAAGAAUGUUUUCAUUAAUCAAGAACGAAMGUUAGAGGUUCGAAGGCGAUCAAUACCGCCCUAGUUCUAACCAUAAACGAUGCCAA
rnacentral:rRNA from 1 species